rfam:Spinacia oleracea cultivar SynViroflay scaffold19279.con0002.1, whole genome shotgun sequence.
CAGUGUGAUGAAAACCAAGGGAGUCAGCACCAGACUGAACAGAAUAAGGUGAAGGAAAUGAUCUUCCAGUUCUAUCUGGAA